AUUGAUUUAAAAUUUUCAUUUGUAAAAAAAAUUAUCUUAUUUUGUAUUUUAGUAUGAUAUAUUUGAGUAGAUGUUAUUUUAUCAUAAUUUUUUAGUUCAUACCUUUUUCAAUUUCAUUUUAAUAAAUGUUUUUAUUUCUUUAAACACUUGCAGGCACUUUUGAAAUCAUUUUCUCUUUCUCUCUUAAUCUCUCUCUCUUCUUUUACUCUCUUAAAAAUUGAAUCUGCUGAAAAUUGCUAAUAAUUGUAAAUUUCUCAUAAAUAUACAUAUAUAUUUAUACAUAUUGUUUGUAUAUGAGCGUAUAUAUAAAUAUAUAUAUAGCAUACACAUAGUGCUGUACAUAUAAAUAUACAAACAUAAACAAACAAACAACACACAGACUUAUUUAUAAUAUAUAUAUAUUAAUUUGUAGUAAGUAUAAAAAAAAUAUGUUGAAAUAUGAAUUUGGUAGCAUUAUUUUAUUGCUCGUACUUACAAAACUUUAGCACAUAUCACACGGUACAAAUUCAAGUACCCAUUGCAGAAUCAGGGAGAUCACUUCAUGUUAUGAAUAUUAAGAUAUGUGCUUAUAUAAGGAAACAGUGUAUGCUCUUAAAUAAAAUUAAUAUAAUAUGUACAAGAAAAUAUGUUAGGAAAAGAAAAAAUUCAUAAACAGCACUGCUGAUAAAAAGUAAGGCUGUCUAAUAGAUCUUUGUCACAAAUAAAUGUUUUGUGAUUGGUUAGAUUAGUACCAAUCUACUGCCAUAUUUGCUUUGCAUACUAUGUCUUUUAAGAUAUUACUUCUAGAAAUAGUGAUCUUCUCUUCCCUUAUCUUAGAGUGCAAUCAUUUGUGCUUAACUGUAUUGUCAGUUCUAAUUGCUUAGGAAUGUGGUAUUAAAAAAAAAGUGUUUCACUCUUUACAUUACUACAUUCCUUAGUGAAUGUGUUGUUGUGCUCAUAAAUAUACCGUAUGUAUUAUAACAAAAAAUAAAAAAAAAAUAAAUUGUGAGGACUCCCUAAGAGACAGUAAAACGACAUUUUUAUAUAAUUAUAGUAAUUUAAUUUUCUUGUAAAAAAAGAAAAAAAUAUAUAAGAUAUAAAUAUGGGUAUGAAUUAUUUUAUUUUUCUCGUGUAUUAUGCCUGCUUUGAUCCAAUGGAGAAAGUGAGAGCUUUUUAAAUUUUUUAUUAUAAUAGAGCCUAAAUACACCAAGAUGAAUAUAUCUUUUUAAAGAAACCUUUGUAAGCAAUGUUACAUUUCUCAAGAUUUAUAAUAUUUCACAUUUUGUAUUUUUCUGACCAUUGUAAUAUUUAUGGAUGGAAGCAAAUUUUUCAGAGCACCAUUUCAUAAUAGAAGGGACUUUAUUUUUCUCAUGGUGCUACAUGUACUUGGACAUUUUUUGCAAGCAUAGCUUCCCCUCGAAGCCUUCAAGUCAUGGUGACUAUUUUGCUAGAUAUGGAUGUGUACAAAUGGAAAAAUUCUUUUUAAAAGAAACGAAUGAAUUAUUGGAAAAAAUUCUUUUUAAUUCUUUUGUGUGCUGUUUAUCAGCGAUGUGUGCAAUAUGUCCGUACGGCAGGAUUUCAUACAAGUACACAAAAAAAAACAAAAUGUGAUGCUCCAGUUGCCGUAGGCUUGAUAUAAUUUAUAUACAGAGAUAAUCCGGUUUAAAAGGUUAAGAAGAAUUUUUUCCAAGUCGAUAGAUGUGAAUAAAUUGAAGAAAUUGGCACAUCACAUUGUUAGUGGUCGUGUGAAUGGUAGAGAGUCAUUUUUAUAGGUUGUUUCGGUCAUUUUUACAAUUGAUAUGUCUCCAAAAUAAAUCAAAAUAAACUGCUGUAUGUGAUUAAAAAUAAUUUAUUAUUUGAAGCUGCCAUAAUAUAAUUCCUGCAGCAGUAAACAUUUUAAAAAUAAUAAUAAUAAUAAUCGAAAUAUGAAACUAUUAAAAUCCUGGAGCAGAAAGUAGACGACAAAUAUGCUAUUUCAAUGUCCUGACCUUUCAAGUUGACCUAAUCUCAAAAAUGAGGCUACCAACAUCUACAGAUAUGCUAUCGCAGAAGUUGUCCCAUUGUCAAGUUCUUCUUUACACACAUGGCUUGUACACAUUUAUAAUGAAUUUAUUUAAUGUAAAUUUAGUAGUUUUUAACUGUAUAAAAAAAAAUUACAUGCAGGUUAAAUUAAUUGAUAAAUUUUCUGAAGGUUUGUGGGUCAUUUCAUACCUAGGGG
rnacentral:lncRNA from 1 species